UAUGUGAAGAGGCUAACGGACGACAAUGCUGGUGGCCUCGUUGGCGCACCAUGGACGUCUCCGCUGCUGGCAAACGGCAAAAAAAGGAUUGGCCGAUCCAGUCGAGCAAGCUAUGGAAGAACAACUCGACUUAUGUAUGCUUUUUUUUAUCUAAUAUGGCUGAUUGUACC